rnacentral:rRNA from 3 species
GCAGUCGAACGAACUCUGGUAUUGAUUGGUGCUUGCAUCAUGAUUUACAUUUGAGUGAGUGGCGAACUGGUGAGUAACACGUGGGAAACCUGCCCAGAAGCGGGGGAUAACACCUGGAAACAGAUGCUAAUACCGCAUAACAACUUGGACCGCAUGGUCCGAGUUUGAAAGAUGGCUUCGGCUAUCACUUUUGGAUGGUCCCGCGGCGUAUUAGCUAGAUGGUGAGGUAACGGCUCACCAUGGCAAUGAUACGUAGCCGACCUGAGAGGGUAAUCGGCCACAUUGGGACUGAGACACGGCCCAAACUCCUACGGGAGGCAGCAGUAGGGAAUCUUCCACAAUGGACGAAAGUCUGAUGGAGCAACGCCGCGUGAGUGAAGAAGGGUUUCGGCUCGUAAAACUCUGUUGUUAAAGAAGAACAUAUCUGAGAGUAACUGUUCAGGUAUUGACGGUAUUUAACCAGAAAGCCACGGCUAACUACGUGCCAGCAGCCGCGGUAAUACGUAGGUGGCAAGCGUUGUCCGGAUUUAUUGGGCGUAAAGCGAGCGCAGGCGGUUUUUUAAGUCUGAUGUGAAAGCCUUCGGCUCAACCGAAGAAGUGCAUCGGAAACUGGGAAACUUGAGUGCAGAAGAGGACAGUGGAACUCCAUGUGUAGCGGUGAAAUGCGUAGAUAUAUGGAAGAACACCAGUGGCGAAGGCGGCUGUCUGGUCUGUAACUGACGCUGAGGCUCGAAAGUAUGGGUAGCAAACAGGAUUAGAUACCCUGGUAGUCCAUACCGUAAACGAUGAAUGCUAAGUGUUGGAGGGUUUCCGCCCUUCAGUGCUGCAGCUAACGCAUUAAGCAUUCCGCCUGGGGAGUACGGCCGCAAGGCUGAAACUCAAAGGAAUUGACGGGGGCCCGCACAAGCGGUGGAGCAUGUGGUUUAAUUCGAAGCUACGCGAAGAACCUUACCAGGUCUUGACAUACUAUGCAAAUCUAAGAGAUUAGACGUUCCCUUCGGGGACAUGGAUACAGGUGGUGCAUGGUUGUCGUCAGCUCGUGUCGUGAGAUGUUGGGUUAAGUCCCGCAACGAGCGCAACCCUUAUUAUCAGUUGCCAGCAUUAAGUUGGGCACUCUGGUGAGACUGCCGGUGACAAACCGGAGGAAGGUGGGGAUGACGUCAAAUCAUCAUGCCCCUUAUGACCUGGGCUACACACGUGCUACAAUGGAUGGUACAACGAGUUGCGAACUCGCGAGAGUAAGCUAAUCUCUUAAAGCCAUUCUCAGUUCGGAUUGUAGGCUGCAACUCGCCUACAUGAAGUCGGAAUCGCUAGUAAUCGCGGAUCAGCAUGCCGCGGUGAAUACGUUCCCGGGCCUUGUACACACCGCCCGUCACACCAUGAGAGUUUGUAACACCCAAAGUCGGUGGG